AUGGAAGGACUUCAAAAGCCAAUUGCAAGAAAUGCUUCGUCAUAGUGAUACAAAGGGGAUCGAGCUAAAGAAACCUAGUAGCUCUCUUUACACAUUCCCGAUGCCAGAUUGCAUGUGUAAGCAUGCAGAUGUUAAUUAACAAUACAAUCUACUGGCAUUUAAUUUCUACAGAUGGAAGGACUUCAAAAGCCAAUUGCAAGAAAUGCUUCGUCAUAGUGAUACAAAGGGGAUCCAGCUAAAGAAACCUAGGAGCUCUAUUUACACAUUCCCAAUGCAGACUGCAUGUGUAAGCAUGCAGAUGUUAAAAUUGCAAGUGGUGACGGGAGAAGACUACUAUGAUAUUUUAGGAUACCCAAUAGUUGCAGAAAAC
rnacentral:lncRNA from 1 species